UGAGGAAUAUUGGACAAUGGGCGCAAGCCUGAUCCUGCAAUGCCGCGUGCAGGAUGAAGGCCUUCGGAUUGUAAAAUUCUUUCACCGGGGACGAUAAUGACGGUACCCGGAGAAGAAGCCCCGGCUAACUUCGUGCCAGCAGCCGCGGUAAUACGAAGGGGGCUAGCGUUGCUCGGAAUUACUGGGCGUAAAGCGCACGUAGGCGGGUAUUUAAGUCAGGGGUGAAAUCCCAGAGUUCAACUCUGGAACUGCCUUUGAUACUGGGUACCUAGAGUAUGGAAGAGGUGAGUGGAAUUCCGAGUGUAGAGGUGAAAUUCGUAGAUAUUCGGAGGAACACCAGUGGCGAAGGCGGCUCACUGGUCCAUUACUGACGCUGAGGUGCGAAAGCGUGGGGAGCAAACA
rnacentral:rRNA from 1 species